CCUCACUGGAAUUAUAAACUGCUGGCUUCUCUGCUGGUAUAAUGUACGAGUCUGUUUGAUCCCUGUGCAGUGUUUCCAAAUUUCUUAUUGCUUGAUCAGGCAUCGAUGAAUUGCCAAUCGUCUUAGACUGCUGCUUUUCAGUUAACUGCACAGUUUUCAAGUUGAUUAUCGUAUUUCCAGUUACUGCAUUUCCAGAUACUUGCUGCAGAUUGCCACUGUAUUGAUUUCCCUCGCAUCCAGACGUCUGCUCACAUUGACUGCUAAGCAUAUUGUUCUGUAUUACCUUAAUGUUACAUAUUUUUUAUGCUAACUUUUCUUCAUCGAUCUUACCUUGCAGACUCAAUCGAACAGUAGUCUGUUUGGUUAAGCCAGCAUCGCCCCCUAUAUUUAACACAGAAUAUUGGAAUGUAACAGGUGACACAGCUUGCUGCUGCAGCUGCUGUUCAUCCUCUUCAAACAGUUGCUCAGUCUGUUCAUUAUCAUGAGCCGAUGAUUGUUUUGAUUCAGUGCAGCCUUCAUUAUGACGAGCCUGAAUUAAUACUUUAGAAUUAUCCAGAUUAUG
rnacentral:lncRNA from 1 species